rnacentral:misc_RNA from 1 species
UGCUAUCAUGGCGACGUGCGAUCAUUCUGUCGUUGAAUAUUUUCCUGGCAACGACGGCCAUCAUUGUGGCUACUGUGGUUCAGAUAACACCAAUUGUUCUCAUGGCAUGUGGGCACACACCAUGACUGUAGAGGAUUAUGAACAGCUCGUUUACCGUGGAUGGAGAAGAAGUGGAUGCUACUGCUACAAACCAACGCUGAGUAUUGCGUGUUGUCCCAUGCAGACUAUUCGGAUGGAUGCCCCAAACUUCAGUAUAAGUAAAAGUCAAAAGAAAGUCAUCAAGAUGGUGAACAGAUACCUCAUCCAUGGCAUAAAGAAAGGAGAGAGCUCUUCAGAUCACGAGGCGUGUGUGCGAGAUCUUCACCACAAUGAGACGAAACGCUCGAGUCAAGUGUUAGCCGACUUGGAUGCCUCGAGUCUCAGGUUGAAAGGCAGCAAGAAGCAGAAUGAGUCUGGUGAUAGCAUCAGCGUAAAACACAAGACGGAAUCGACAGCGAAGACAAGUCUUACAGAAGAUAAACAGUCUGCGGAAGUGGCAUCGGAACACGGUGUAGCAACCGCAAGGAAAGGCAAAACAUACAAACCAGGUGUGGGACUUGAUCCAAAUAAACCAAAAUGUGGGAAAGCAAAGCUGAUCCGGCUAGAAAAAAAGAAAAAAAAGCUGGUCGUGGAGUCAUCGGUUUCUGAGGAUCAAACAGACUCUGUGUCUACUGCUGAGAUAUCACCAAGUAACAGUAAGAAAAUGUUAAAAAGAGAAAAUGAACGUAAAAGUGUGGAGGAGUACCUUGCUGAACCAGAGAAGGCUGAAAGUGUUGCACACAAACUGGAGAUAAAACUUAUACGUUCUUGUCCACCAUCGGAAGAAUUUCUGUCGACUUUUCGUAAGGAGUCGUACAAAUUGUUUAAAAGAUAUCAGAUGUCAAUCCACAAGGAACCAGAAAAUGAAUGUACUCUGCGUGACUUUUCUCAGUUUUUGGUGGAGUCACCAUUGCAGCAUAUCCCUGGUGAUAAAAAGCUGCUUACAGGAUAUGGGUCGUAUCACCAGCACUACAUUCUGGAUGGAAAAAUCAUAGCUGUUGGCGUGAUUGAUAUUCUUCCCCAUUCCGUCUCGUCCGUGUAUCUCUACUAUGACCCCGACUACAGCUUCUUGUCCUUGGGCACAUAUUCUGCACUGAGGGAGAUUGCGUUUGUGAGGGAGUUAUACAAGAGUUCACCUGAUCUACGAUAUUACAACAUGGGUUUCUACAUCCAUUCUUGCAGGAAGAUGCAAUACAAGGGUCAGUACUCGCCAUCAUACAUUGCUUGUCCUGAAGUUCAUACGUGGGUUCCAAUAGAAAAAUGUCGACCCAAAUUGGACGCCGCCAGAUACUGCCGAUUAGAAGAGGAUCCAACAAUAGAGGAUGAAGAGGGAAAGAUCGACUUGAAUGCAGUUCUAAUACUACAGAAUGGGACAUUACUGAAUUACGAAAAAUACCACAUGCUCAAUCCAAGCAGGAAAGAUCAGUCCGAGAUUGAAGAAUAUGCAAAAUUAGUCGGGCGGACGUGUUCACAAAGAAUCUUGCUGUAUCGGCGAUAGAGAACCUGUUCCUCGACUCAUCAAAGCUUAGUGUUGUGAUUUCGAACAUAUUUAAAUCCCCCUCCCCCAAACAUAUCUUUAUAUCUAGUAGUCACUUGAUGGUGGUAACUACAGAACGUAGCAUAUGUUGUUUUCAUUUCUAUUAUGUUAGAUGAGAAAGGUAAACAAGGGGUAAACAAAAUUGUUGCUGUUGAAUGGCAGUAGAUUAUGAUAUGAGCCAUCACAUGAGAAACUUUUAACUUGGCAUGAUUUAAAAAACCCAAGAAAACAUUUGCAUCAUAGAAACAUGGAAGAAAAGGUUGACAUGUGCUUGUCACAUUGUUUUUAUCAUGCUAAGAAGAUAUUGGUUUCGUCACAUAAGAACAUAUAACUUAAAACAUUGGCAAUAAAACAAAUAAAGUAAAUAUUACUGUAUUAAUGCAUAAUUUUUUUUUUUUUAAAUUGACUUGGUUAAAAACUAACGUAGAACCAGUAAAAUUUUAUUUUAACUUUGAAGUUUAAAAAAGUAACAAUUUAUCCUAUCUUUUACUAGAUAUAUUUAAAUAUAGAACCUUACUACCAGAGAUUAGGUUUUUGACUAUUACUACCUGAGAUUUAGAUUUUUGAAGAUCCUUUGCACCCAUAUGAUUUUAAAGGAAAUUUUUUUUAAAUUAUUAUUUUUUGUUGCUGUUGUAGGUUUUUACAUGUGACAUCUCAUAGCUUAUAUAUUUUUAUCAUCGAACCACAGUGCUGUAUCCAUGAUAUAUCAUCCUUUUGUCAUUCUGUUACAACAUCUGCCUUGUGUUAUUUAAUGUGUUUUUUCAUAACCAUAUGCAAAAAGAAGUACAUUUAGGAAGCUUUAAAACCAACACUAUUACUCAUAAGUAACAAAACCGUGAGGGCACAGAUUUUCAAAGCUGACUUAGCGCUACAAUAUCGUAAAACCAUUAUAGACUAUGAUGUCACUAUGGUGAUUGUUUCACAAACAUAUUGAUCAUAUGAUGACUGUCUUAAAUUUUAUUUUCAUGUUUGACUUAUGAACAAAUUACUGGAUUACAUCUAUAUAUAUAUAUGUCAAUAUCUGUGUGGUUCAUAACCAUAUGUCCAACACCAUAUAACCGUAAAAAAAAGUGUUGAGUGCAUUGUUAAAUAAAACAUUUCCUUCCUUCUCAUCAAAAUGUCCUUUGGACUCUGCCUUGUGAAGAGAUACAAACUUGAUUGAGUACCAGUAGCAGACAGGAUAUCAUACCGUUUAAUAGUUUGUGUUUGUGAUCAUUUAACAGUUUGUUACUGAAGCCUGUAACCAAUGAUAGUAAUUUCACUUGGGAUAGUUUGAAUUGAUAGCUUGUGAAGAUUACUAACAAAAUACAACAACAUGGUAUUUGCCUCUUUUAUCGAUAUAGUAAAUGUUAGAUAGUUAUAUGUAAAAAUAUUGUUUAAUUUAUUAUACAUGUGAACAGUUCUUUAAAUCAAAACCAUUUUAUCUUAGAAUAUAUAUUUAUUGAUAUUAUUCAUUCAGCCUUUGAUACUGGCACUAACCAUACUUUAUUUAAAAUCCACCAACAAUGGCUGGUCUACGUGUAUUUCCUCCCACCUGUCUGGCUCUUCUUCGCAUUCGCCUGAUGUGCAGUUGGUCUAGGAUCGAUCCCUGUCAGUGGCCCCAUUGGGCUAUUUCUUGUUCCAUUCAGUGCACCACGACUGUGGUAUAUGCUAUCCUGUCUGUGCGAUGGUGUAUACAAAAGAUCCCUUGCUACUAUUGGUUUAUCAAAGACUGUGAUAUGUGCUAUCCUGUCUGUGGGAUGGUGCAUAUAAAACAUCCCUUGCUACUAACGAAGAAAUGUGGCAUGUUUCCUCCAAAUGUUUGACAAAUGAUGAUUAAUAAAUCAAUAUGCUCUAAUGGUGUCAUUAAACAAUAACUUUUAACCAACUUUAAAAGUUCUUUCCUAGAAAUGACGACUUUGUGAGUAGUGUAACUUUUUUUUAUAUACACCUUUUAUGUACACCUGUCUUUGAUGGUUCAUGUUAUGGUACGUUGUUGUUCAUCCAUCCAUCUAUCUGACCUUUAAGAUGCUAUGUGGUUCCAACUCCACCUGUAGGAGGACUGCCACCUUUAUAACAUGUGUCAGUACAGACACCAAAAACCUUUCUACAGCUUCCCACAGACAUCAGAAUGUGCACACGGAUGUGCAUAGGAUAUUUUUUUAGAAUGGUACAUUUUACAGAAAUAUUGCUCAAAUUAUUUGGGAGGGAGAAUCCCCUUUAAAACCAACUAUGAAUAAUGAUAAGGCCUCACAACAUCAUGUUAGUGACCGAGGUAUCAAGCCAAUACAGUAUGUUUUAUGCAAACAGAUCGAACCUUUAUUUUUGAUGUUUAAUAUAGUUGUUUCUACUUUCUGCGUCUUUGAAUUUAUGCUUCCUAUAUAUGUAAUCGCGGCUUACAUGUGUACCUCAUGUACAUAUAUUAUGCAUUAAUUUUAAUUUAUUCUGUUGAAUGCCUGCAGCCAUCUUGGUUUUUUUUCCAUCUAAAUACAUGCACUUGGAUUAAGACCACCACAUAUGUAUACACUGCUGUCUAAUAUUUACAAUUAUUUAAUUUAUUACACUAUGCAUAUUAUGCACAAUGUCUGAUUGGUCGGUGUUAAUCAAGGGUUUCGUGUUUCAUAUUACACGGCUCGGUGGUUUUACGAACCAAUAAAUCACGAUAUUACACUCAGGGAUCACUCUGUACUUUGACAAAUUAACCAGUUGCUAAUUUUAUAUGCCAAGUGGCUCAACAUCUAGUCUUUGGUUAAUAAAAUAUUCCUUAAAUUAACCCCUAUUUUUAUGUUUUGAAAGAAAUACUCUAUAUUUCAAGAAGUUGUCUAAACCACAAUUUGUUCCAGUGUGAGCACUAGGACUCGUCCAGUCCAAAACGGGGAUUCCCCUUGUACUGGCAUUGACCAACUACCACUGUUAAUUUGAUUGAUAGCAUUCACAUAUGAGUUUAUGACUUGUACAAUCAAGCACAGAGUAUAAUCUAGCAAAAAAUAAAUACUGACCUUGGCCUAUGGCCCGUUGUAUAUAUAUAUAACACACACACACACACACACACGUGUGUGUGUGUGUGUAUAUAUAUAAUUUUUGCACUAUAAAACAUAUCUGUCUCAUCACAAUGCCAUAAUUGCUGAAAAUGAGUGACUGUUGACAAGUUUCAACAUAUUGUGCUAUAUUGUAUCAAUGUAUUGUCUAACACACAUUGAACACAUUAUUUUGUUAUCAGGUGGUGUAAUAAACUGAAUUCUUUAGA